GGUGAGAUGGCCGAGCGGUCUAAGGCGCCAGACUAAGGUGCAUAUCCUUCUGCUGCACAAUAAUCUGGUCUCUUCGGGGGCGUGGGUUCAAAUCCCACUCUCAUCA